rnacentral:siRNA from 1 species
ACAAACAAAACAAAGCCACAAAA